GGAAAUUAAACCCAGGGGUGCUUAACCACUGAGUCAUAUCCCAACCCUUUUUAUUUUGAGACAGAAUCUCACUUAGAUUUGCUUGGAGCCUUGCUAAGUUGUUGAGGCUAGCUUUGAGCUUCUAAUCCUCCUGUCUCAGCCUCCCCAGCCACUGAGAUUAUAGGUAUCUGCCACCAUGCCUAGCUCAUCUGGAUUAUGAGUGAUCUCUAACUGGGUUCCCUGUAGCCUGUAGGCAACACAGCCCCAGAGGGAUCCCUAUUAAAACGAGGCCAGAACAUAUCACUUUUCUACUCAAAAUCCUCUUGUAGCUUCCCACACAGAUUCACAGAUAGUCACCAAACUCAUCUGGAUAUGCUUCUACCCAGGGCUUUUACACUUGCUAUUCCCUAUACUUGGAAUUUCCUCACCCAGGUCUCUAUGACUUACUCCUUCACUAGUCAGUGACUGAGGUCCUCCCUAGCUUCUCAAUAUAAAAUUGCCACCACCACCAAAACAGACAUUCCUGACCCUCCUUCACUGAUUUAAUCAGUAUGUUGAAGAAACAUGACUUACAUAUUUCUUUCUUUUGUGUCUUCCCCAUUGGACAAAGCUUCUAGGAAGGCAGGUUCUCUUUUCUGUGUUUUUCAUUUCUGUAUUUCGUGUUUGACAGAGUAGAAACUCAAAUAUUUGUUGGUUGAAUGCACCAGUUAACAGGGAUUUUUCUCAUUGAACAAGAACAUGGAAGCAAGUGGGACCAGGUUGGCUCAGAAGCUCAUCAUGCCUUCAGGGAGCCUGAUUCUUUCCAUCUUUUCAGUUGGUCAAGCUCAGUGUCUAGAUGGUGAAGUUGCUCAAAUCUUGUCAUUUCCUUGACAAAUAAACAGAAAGGGCAAGCAGAAGCUCUCCUGAUACAAUUCUGGCUGGUUAUUAGCAGGAAAGUUUUUCUGGGACUCCUCAGCAGUCUUCUCGUUGUUGGUCAUGACUGGGUUAGACAUCUAUUUAUAAAUCAACCUUGGAAAGUAGAAACGGGAUUCUCAUGCCUUUUAGAACAGCUGUUAUGACGUUCUCC
rnacentral:lncRNA from 1 species